rnacentral:rRNA from 1 species
CUCGGAUAACCGUAGUAACACUAGAGCUAAUACGUGCGUAAAUCCCGACUUUUGGAAGGGACGUAUUUAUUAGAUUUAUGGCCAGCCGGGCUUGCCCGAUCAGCGGCGAAUCAUGGUAACUUGACGGAUUGCAUGGCCUUCGUGCCGGCGACGUGUCAUUCAAGUUUCUGCCCCAUCAGGUUUCGACUGUAGUGUAUUGGACUACAGUGCCUAUAACGGGUAGCGGAGGAUUAGGGUUCGAUUCCGGAGAGGGAGCCUGAGAAACGGCUACCACAUCCAAGGAAGGCAGCAGGCGCGCAAAUUACCCAAUCCCAACUCAGGGAGGUAGUGACAAGAAAUAGCAAUGCGGGGCUUCUUGCUCUGCAAUUGGAAUGAGAACAAUUUAAAUCACUUAACGAGUAUCAAUUGGAGGGCAAGUCUGGUGCCAGCAGCCGCGGUAAUUCCAGCUCCAAUAGCGUAUAUGUAAGUUGUUGCGAUUAAAAAGCCCGUAGCUGAACCUCGGGCAACCCUGACGGUCCGCGUUUCGUGAGUACUGUCGUGGGUUGUCUUUCUGGCAAGACCGUAUCUCGGCGUUAACUCGCCGGGAACGGCGCUUGCCAAGGUUACUUUGAGUAAAAUAGAGUGUUCAAAGCAAGCUCGCGCUCUGAAUACACUAGCAUGGGAUAACACGACAUGACCGAUGGUCUAUCUUGUUGGCCUGUAGACCUGUUGGUAAUGGCUAAUAGGGACGGUCGGGGGCAUUCGUAUUUCGCUGUCAGAGGUGAAAUUCUUGGAUUUGCGAAAGACGAACUACUGCGAAAAGCAUUUGCCAAGGACGCUUUCAUUAGUCAAGGACGAAA